rnacentral:tRNA from 1 species
GCUGUGAUGGCCGAGAGGUUAAGGCGUUGGACUCGAAAUCAAAUGGGGUGUCCCCGCGCAGGUUCAAAUCCUGCUCACAGCG